CUCGUGUCUCUGCGGCACUUGUUAUUAGGAGGAUGCCCCUCGUUGAGAGAGAUUCCCGACUCGAUUGGAAAGUUGGCAUCAUUGACUGAACUGAACCUAUUUGAAACAGGGAUUGAAGAAUUACCUGAAUCCAUUGGUUCUCUGAGAAUGCUUGAGACUCUUAAUGCCUCUUAUUGUAAAUCGUUAGCCUGCAUACCCAGCUCCAUAGGUUCCCUUGUGUCUCUGCGGCACUUGUCAUUAAAGGGAUGCCGCUCGUUGAGGAAGAUUCCCGACUCGAUCACAAAAUUGAAGGACUCAGGAUGCCGGAUAUUGGGCGAUCGCCGGAUCUUUCCGGAUCAAAGCAUCUGAAGGCUAUUGUGUGUUCAAAAGAGUGCCGUUUGGGGAAAUAACUUGUCAUUUGUCAUUUCAUCCUCGACACGAUACGAGCACCAGACUUUUAAAUUAUUUAUCUUUUCGCAAGUUCCGCAUUUGAAGGAUGCUCUCUGCUCGCUCGCGAGCCAUCUUAUAACGUGUUUGUUUUGUUCACACGGCUGAGUUGAACUUUUUAUCUAUCUUCUGUUCGCUUCUUCUAAUGCCGGGCAUCCCGGUCCAUAUCUACGCUGUGGAAAUCACAAGACGUUUGAGAGAACAAGCAGCUCUUCAAGAAACAUCCCUUCGCCUUCGACCCGUAGCCAUCUCGGUUUUCUUAAAGGGAACUUCUGGAGGCGGGAGUACAAGAACACAGAGAGAGACAGAGAGAGAGAUCGUGCUGCCGGAUUUAUGGAUGGCGCUCACGAUCCCCCCGCGGAUUCGUCGGGUUCUGUCGAGGCUUAACGAGAUUCGCACCGUUUUAUCCUGUCAC